CAUCCAUUUUCUAAUGCUUAUAGUACCGUUUUGUGGCUUUAGAACAAUGGGCUUAAUGAACUUUGUCAUCAAAGAAAACAUUUUUUACUCAGCGUUCCCACUGCUAUAAAAUAAAAUUAUUUUGUGAUAAGGUAUAAACAUAACGUUGACCUAUAUUAGUGAGGGCUAAAAAAAAAAAAAAAAAAAAAAAAAUCUAAGAUCACCAUACAAGUAUGUAUUCAGUUUCUCUACUUUCCACAUGAAACUUUCUCCUUGAAAGUUUUAAUGGACAGAGUAGAAUAUAAAUUCUAAAAUCAUAAUGUUUAAACAAUAUGAAUGUUGACUGAUUCAUAGAUCUUCUGUCUCUGGCUGUUUGGGGAUGUUGCCAUCAGCUGACACCAACAUAAUAAUUUCAGAAGAUAAUUUGAAGGAUUAAAGUGAAAUUCUUCCCAAAAAUUCUAAGAAGGGAAUGUUGACACAGAACAGAUUGGAGUAUUUAGCCAAGACUUGCAUUAAAAAAGUAGGUCAGCUUUUUAGAUCAUGUUUUCUUUGAAGGUGCAGAGGGCAGAUGAGAAGAGGAAAGGAACCAGAGCAUGACUCCUCUUUAAUGAUACUCCAGGAGCCCUUCUGAAGCAUCUGAAAGCCAGGUGUCAGGAAAGACAAUUUUGAAACUGAAGUUUGAUUUUUGGGAAGCAUAUUAAAUAUGUUAGAGGAUUAAAACAUUUGAUGUUAUGAAAUAGAAUUCCAGAUUACCAGAUGGAUUUUGAUCUCUCUCUCUCUGUGGCCCUCUGGCCCCAACUGCAUUUCUGAUUGCCUAGGAAGAACAACCUUUGAAAUUUGACAUCCACAUCUGAAUGGGGUGAGAGACCUGGAGUCUGAGAAGCUGAGAUCUGUGAUGUGGGCCCUGCACAUCUACAGGACUGACUACCAUUAAAAACUCUGAACAUCAAAGUUCAGAUGAGCUUCCUGGUGGCAAGACUCUGCAUGUGUUUUCACACAAUGUUGCUGGAAGAGUUGUGUCCCUGUGUGACUCCACUGGGCUAGUAUAAGACACCUGGAAUCUCAUACUCGGCUUCUGGACU